rnacentral:rRNA from 1 species
AUUGAACGCUGGCGGCAGGCCUAACACAUGCAAGUCGAACGAGUGGCGGACGGGUGAGUAAUGUCUGGGAAACUGCCUGAUGGAGGGGGAUAACUACUGGAAACGGUAGCUACUACCGCAUACCAUCAGAUGUGCCCCGAUGGGAUUAGCUGGUUGGUGGGGUAACGGCUCACCAAGGCGACGAUCCCUAGCUGGUCUGCGAGGAUGACCAGCCACACGGGAACUGAAACACGGUCCAGAUUCCUACGGGAGGCAGCAGUGGGGAAUAUUGCACAAUGGGCGCAAGCCUGAUGCAGCCAUGCCGCGUGUAGUAAGAAGGCCUUCGGUGUGUAAAGUACUUUCAGCGGGGAGGCGUUACCCGCAGAAGAAGCACCGGCUAACUCCGUGCCAGCAGCCGCGGUAAUUC